UGGGAUAGCUGAAUUAGAGAUCGGCAUCCUUACAUUCUUUAUACUUUGGAGUUUGAAAAUGUCUCUAAGCGUUGAAGCUAAAGCUAAAAAUCGUUUUCUGAGUUUUGGGUCGUGGUACU
rfam:Microbacterium sp. STBG005 Ion018_assembly_c2319, whole genome shotgun sequence.